rnacentral:rRNA from 1 species
GGCCAGACUCCUACGGGAGGCAGCAGUGGGGGAUAUUGCACAAUGGGGGGAACCCUGAUGCAGCGACGCCGCGUGAACGAAGAAAUAUUUCGGUAUGUAAAGUUCUAUCAGCAGGGAAGAAAAUGACAGUACCUGACCAAGAAGCCCCGGCUAACUACGUGCCAGCAGCCGCGGUAAUACGUAGGGGGCGAGCGUUAUCCGGAUUCACUGGGCGUAAAGGGAGCGUAGACGGUCCUGCAAGCCAGAUGUGAAAGCCCGGGGCUCAAUCCCGGGACUGCAUUUGGAACUGUAAGGCUAGAGUGUCGGAGAGGCAGGCGGAAUUCCUAGUGUAGCGGUGAAAUGCGUAGAUAUUAGGAGGAACACCAGUGGCGAAGGCGGCCUGCUGGACGAUGACUGACGUUGAGGCUCGAAAGCGUGGGGAGCAAACAGGAUUAGAUACCCGGGUA